UGCGGCUCUCUAGGACCGAAUUUGCCUACCCCUGGAUUAGAAUAUAAACUGAUACAGAUUUAAUCUCAAUCAGACUUAGUCUCAAUCACACAGUAUUUCAGAUGUCAACUUGGCAAACUGCAGCAGCUCAGAUGGGUCUGGGCUACGGCUGCUCAGUCCUUGACUAAAGGAAAUGUGGAGUCCAGGGAGGAGUCGGUUCCCACACCCAGAAGAAGGGCUUUCGGCUGAUCUAACACAAACACUGCAGCCCUCAGGAAGGAAAGGGUUCCCAGACACCUCACAGACUGAGUGACAUUGCAGGAAAUGGCGCUGUUGUCUGCUGAAGAAAAGCAGCAACGCUACAGGGCUCGUUGUGAUGCACUGCCUGAAAGAAGGCAGAUAUACCCCAAUAAAAAGAACGGGAGGUGGAGAAAGGACAUAAAGGAAGGAAGAAAAAAAAGAGUGUUAGAACUCAGCU